GCGUCGGUGGUAUAGUGGCUAGAAUAGCUGCUUUCCAAGCAGUUGACCCGGGUUCGAUUCCCGGCCAACGCA
rnacentral:tRNA from 1 species